GAUGCAUAUACAUGAUGGUAAUAUCUCAAACCGAUAUACUUUACUGAUAGAUUUUAUAUUUAUAACCAAAAUAAUAAUACUUUAUUAAAUCAUAUAUCAAACUAAUCUCCGCGAUUUACCGACUGACGUCCGAGCGUCCCCCCCCUGGCCACCCCUUAAAACACAUCUUUGCCCGAGGUUUGACAUUUUAGACGUCUGCGUGUAAUAGCGCACACAGGAUU